rnacentral:lncRNA from 1 species
GGUCCCCCACAGCCUAUACUGGGGCUCUGAGAAGGAGCUGGGACGAGGCUGUGGACAGGGGAGAUGAUUGGUCCAAACCGGGAGCUCCUGGCCAGGGCUCUUGCUCUGAAGUACAGCCCUCACCAAGGAGACGAUCCCUGGGAGACUCCCCAGCUGAAGACGGCUGGCAAGAGUGGGCAAGAAAACCCUCUGCCAGCUCUAGAUGGGGAGCUAAGGCCCAUUCCCUGGGGACAGGCCUGGGCUGAUAUCUGAGCAUUGUCUGGGACACGAGGGAAAGAAGAAUAAAGCUGAAACCCCUUGAAUCUGG